GACGAACCGUCCAAACGUUAUUCGGAAUCACUGGGCUUACAGAGUUCGUAGGCGGUCUGGAAAGUUGGGUGUGAAAUCCCUCGGCCUAACCGAGGAACUGCGCUUGAAACUACCAGACUCGAGGGAGAUAGAGGAAAGCGGAACUGAUGGUGGAGCGGUGAAAUGCGUUGAUAUCAUCAGGAAUACCGGAGGCGAAGGCGGCUCACUGGGGGUUUUCUGACGCUGAGGAACGAAAGCCAGGGGAGCGAACGGG
rnacentral:rRNA from 1 species